CGGACGGGUGAGUAAUGCCUAGGAAUCUGCCUGGUAGUGGGGCACAACGUUUCGAAAGGAACGCUAAUAACGCAUACGUCGUACGGGAGAAAGCAGGCCACCUUCGGGCCUUGCGCUAUCAGAUGAGCUUAGGUCGGAUUAGCUAGUUGGUGGGGUAAUGGCUCACCAAGGCGACGAUCCGUAACUGGUCUGAGAGAAUGAUCAGUCACACUGGAACUGAGACACGGUCCAGACUCCUACGGGAGGCAGCAGUGGGGAAUAUUGGACAAUGGGCGAAAGCCUGAUCCAGCCAUGCCGCGUGUGUGAAGAAGGUCUUCGGAUUGUAAAGCACUUUAAGUUGGGAGGAAGGGCAGUAAGUUAAUACCUUGCUGGUUUGACGUUACCGACAGAAUAAGCACCGGCUAACUCUGUGCCAGCAGCCGCGGUAAAACAGAGGGUGCAAGCGUUAAUCGGAAUUACUGGGCGUAAAGCGCGCGUAGGUGGUUCGUUAAGUUGGAUGUGAAAGGCCGGGGCUCAACCUGGGAACUGCAUCCAAAACUGGCGAGCUAGAGUAUCGUAGAGGGUGGUGGAAAUUCC
rnacentral:rRNA from 1 species